CUCUUUCAAUUUCUUAAUUUCUUUUUUUUUUAAAUACUUCGUAGUUUUAGGUUAAAUGUCAAAAAUUUUGAUACACGAACUGACCACUUCGACUGACUUACGUAGACUCUUCUGUAGACCGACUUUUCUUCGCUCUUAUAUAGACUCGGUGUUCCCCCUCUGAAAAUUUCCUCAUUCCCAUGGCAACUGGUCCUUCGCCGAUCAAACUUUCCAAAUUUGGUCAAAAAUUUCGAUUUUAGCGCCAUCUCUUGAUUAAAUUCGGAACUAACCAAAUUUUCCAAACUUUCACAAAAAUUUCCAUAAAAUGACCAUUUUACUCACAUUUCUUUCUACUUUCUUGAUUCGCGCACUUUAUUUUACCCCAGCAAAUGGAGUUUCUUUAAUUCUCCUUCAUUUCGGACAUUUGGCAAAUUCACUCCGAACUACCCAAUUUCCCCUUCAAUCUAAGCUUUCACCAUUGAAUUUUCUUUUGAUUUAUGAUAUUUGUAUUCUAAUCUUUCUCUUUUUAGUUACUAAAAGGUUUUCUUUUGGAAAAUAAAUACAUUGAAAAAUUGACAUUUGAGGUUAUGUCUUUCGCUUUUGAGGUUUCUCUAGCUAAGUUAAAUUACAAAGGAAAUACGCAACUUUAAACGAAUCAACAACGGCAAAUACCCUGGUUUACGAAUAAAUUUACUAACAAUACAACGGAACUUAAAAUUACAAUAACUUAAUCUAAACAGUGAACAAAGUACAUGGCUACUCGUAGGAAUCUCUAUUAAAACGUUAAACCGUAGAAGAACCACGUUUUGGUCUCCGAUACUAAUGAUUCUACAAUUCUCUCUUGUACUUCUGAUCUCCCUAACUUCGUAUUCUGGACUUUAUUUUUUAAUGUAUUCUAAUUAUUUAAGUUAGAUCUUAAUACUGGUAGGUAGAUAUUACUACAUUAUUUAUU